GGACCCGCACAAGCAGUGGAGCAUGUGGUUUAAUUCGAAGAUACGCGCAGAACCUUACCAACGCUUGACAUGUUCGUCGCGAGACUAAGAGAUUAGUCUUUUCAGUUAGGCUGGACGAAACACAGGUGCUGCAUGGCUGUCGUCAGCUCGUGUCGUGAGAUGUUGGGUUAAGUCCCGCAACGAGCGCAACCCCCUACUUUUAGUUGCCACCAUUUAGUUGGGCACUUUAAAAGAACUGCCAGUGAUAAGCUGGAGGAAGGUGGGGAUGACGUCAAGUCCUCAUGGCCCUUAUGUGUUGGGCUACACACGUGCUACAAUGGCACUUACAAUGGGAUGCGAAGAGGUGACUCUUAGCUAAUCCCUAAAAUGUGUCUCAGUUCGGAUUGUACUCUGUAACUCGAGUGCAUGAAGCUGGAAUUGCUAGUAAUCG
rnacentral:rRNA from 1 species